rnacentral:rRNA from 1 species
UAGUAGGUGAACCUGCGGAAGGAUCAUUA